rnacentral:rRNA from 1 species
UACGAAGGGGGCUAGCGGUGUUCGGAAUUACUGGGCGUAAAGCGCACGUAGGCGGAUUAGUAAGUCAGGGGUGAAAUCCCGGGGCUCAACUCCAGAACUGCCUUUGAUACUGCUUAGCUUGAGUCCGGAAGAGGUGAGUGGAAUUCCGAGUGUAGAGGUGAAAUUCGUAGAUAUUCGGAAGAACACCAGUGGCGAAGGCGGCUCACUGGACUGGUAUUGACGCUGAGGUGCGAAAGCGUGGGGAGCAAACAGG